rnacentral:lncRNA from 1 species
GUCCUGCUCCUUGGUUACGUCUAUUACUAAAGUUACUAUGGUUACUUCUAUUACUAAAGCCUGAGGGACAUGAACUAUCCUGAGGGCAAGACCCAUCUUACUCUGCUUUGCUGCUGUCAUACUGUUCUGUAGGGAGGACUCAUUUAGCAGUUAGGUGUUCAUCCUCUUUCCCAGAAGCCCUGACUGGGUCAGGGUUGAGAAUGCAGAGACUAAAGACGGGGCUUUGCCCUCCAGAGAUUAAGAAACCACUAAAAACAAAACAAAAAACAAACAAACAAAACAAAAGACUGCAGGUCUUGAGAUAAACUUAUGAUAUUCUGGGUCCAAGUACGCAUGGAUUAUGACAUCCUUAAUGUUGGUGAAGAAGGCAGAAGGGAUAUGCAAGAAAGUGGAAGACAUGGUGUGAGAUGGCAGAGCUUCCCCGAUAAAGCAGAACUCGACACAGACACAGAACAUCU